rnacentral:rRNA from 1 species
AUGACCCCCCUCAAGAACUCGCGCUCCGCCCUCUCCCGUCUCCUCCGCCACAAGCCCGCCGCCGGCCGGCCGCAGCCCCCGCCCCCGCCCUCGCCGGUGUUGGGGGAAACGGCCUUUCGGCACUACCACGCCGCCCCGCAGCGCCCAGGGUUCAUUCAAUCCUUCAGCCGAAGACCCCUCCGCCACGAGCCCGCCGCCCUCUUCCGGCCGCCGCCGGCGCAGGCGCAGGUGCCGCCACCCCGGCACUACUUCACCUCCUCUCGCCGCCCGGAGGUCAUCCACUUCACGCGCCGCCGCGGCGGCGCGCGGUGGUACCACGAUAGGCGGAAGGUCGCCGCGGUGGUCCUCCUCACCGGCGGCGGGGCCAUCGUCGUCUACUUCGGCAACCUCGAGACCGUGCCCUACACCAAUCGCACCCACUUCGUCCUCGUCUCGCCCCAGCUCGAGCGCCAGCUCGGCGAGUCCCAGUUCGCCGAUCUCAAGAAGGAGCUCGCCCCCAAGAUCCUGCCCCCGCUCCACCCCGACAGCGUCCGCGUCCGCCUCAUCGCCUCCGAGAUCGUCCGCGCGCUCCACCGCGGCCUCGCCGACCGCCGCAGCGACGACUUCGAUGACGCCUCCUACGGCGACAUCUCCACCGACAUCGCCGUCAAAGCCCGUGACUUGGAUCCCGAGGGCGUGAUGCAUCGGGUCUCGCCUGGCAAGACCGCGAGCACGGCCGCGAGGGCUCAGCGAGACGACGAGCUUCUCGAUGACAGGUGGGUGGCCGAGAGCCGGAGACGGGGGAAGGCACGUGGAGCGCAGCCACAGACGAAGCACCUCAAUGAGCUCAAUUGGGAGGUGAUCGUCGUCAGAGAUAAGCUCAUCAAUGCAAUGUGUUUGCCUGGUGGUAAAAUUGUAGUCUUCACUGGAUUGCUCGACCAUUUCAAGACAGAUGCUGAGAUUGCGACAGUGCUUUCGCAUGAGAUUGGGCACGCUAUCGCGAGGCACUUGCCAGAGAUGAUCACCAAGGGCAUGUGGUUUACUAUCCUGCAGCUUAUCGUCCUACAGUUUAUUUACAUGCCAGACUUAAUUAAUGCAAUGUCGACAUUACUCCUCAGACUGCCCUUCUCACGAAGGAUGGAGGUAGAGGCAGAUCACAUCGGGCUCAUGCUUCAAGCAUCUGCUGGUUUUGACCCACGCACCGCUCCCAAGGUCUACGAGAAGCUAGGACAAAUCGCGGGCAAUCAAUCAGUACUGAAAAGCUACCUCUCUACUCAUCCUUCGAGUAAGAAGCGAUCGGAGCUCUUGUCUCGAGCCAAGGUAAUGGAGGAGGCGAUGCAGCUAUACAGGGAAGCUUGCGCCGGCCACGGGACCGAAGGUUUCCUCUAA